GCAACAUGGUUAUGGGUACUACAGUGGAUGUGAGUGUGUAGACCUUGUACAAUAGAGCUUAUAGGCUAAUGAGAAGACAGGAAGAAACAACAGGAACACAUAUAGCUGGAAUGCAGAUGGGAUCUGUGCUACUUACGCUAGCCAUGGGAUGAUUAGAACAAGAUAAGAGACAUGAGGAAGACUUCUUCAAGGAGGUGCUCAAGCCAUGUUUUGGAAAAGAGAACUCAAGGUCUGGCAGGGAGAAAGGAGCAAGACUGCCUGGCAGCUCUUUAGAAAGUUGUGUGACGUAUGAACCAGUUCUUCCCUAUAUGAGAGUGUACCGUACAUCGCAGGCUGUCCAGCAUCGACCCCACUGAUGGAUGCUAGUAGUCCUCCCCGCCAGCACUCAACAUUGUGACAAGACCCCAGUAGAGAUGGUCCCCAAGCAUGCUAACCAUGAAGCAGUGAUAUCGCACAGCACCUGCUUCCAGCAGCCCGGAGCCAAGGGGCAAAAUGGAAAGAGUCAGCAUUUCUCUUUUAGGUUCUCUGCCUCUCUAGUGUGUAAGCUUUUAACCCCCACUACGCGUCUUCGUUCCAUUCUCCUCCAGUACCCAUUUUAGUGAGCUUCUGUUGUUUCUGCCCCAGGAUAUCUCUAACAAAGAACCAAGAUAUUUAUCAGGA
rnacentral:lncRNA from 10 species